UCCUCUCUCUGAGCCCCUCUAUAAACACCAUUACAAUCCACGUCCACCAAUCUCCUUUUUUUACCCUCUGUGUUGGCGCAAUCUCAUAAAUAUGAAGCCAAGAUCUGGGCGUAUCCUAAGCAUUUAUGGCAGAAGAUUGUUAUCUAUGAGAUCAGACAUGAUCGAUCCUAUUAGGAUUCGUCAACGUGAAGUGGUGUCGUUGUUCCAUUACUUGACAG
rnacentral:misc_RNA from 1 species